rnacentral:rRNA from 1 species
GUGCCAGCAGCCGCGGUAAUACGAAGGGGGCUAGCGUUGUUCGGAAUUACUGGGCGUAAAGCGCGUGUAGGCGGGUCCUUAAGUCAGGGGUGAAAUGCCGAGGCUCAACCUCGGAACUGCCUUUGAUACUGGGGAUCUUGAGUCCGGGAGAGGUGAGUGGAACUGCGAGUGUAGAGGUGAAAUUCGUAGAUAUUCGCAAGAACACCAGUGGCGAAGGCGGCUCACUGGCCCGGAACUGACGCUGAGACGCGAAAGCGUGGGGAGCAAACAGGAUUAGAAACCCUUGUAGUCC